rnacentral:other from 1 species
UAAACCCUGCUGUGCGCGUGUUGCCGCUAAACGGUUCUGAGCCAACACACACAAACGGGGUCCCAAGCUCACGACAGUGACGCGAUAGGCUAGAGCCAAGGCGGAUCUGGCGGGGAGGGACCCAACCUGCGAAGGCAGGUUCAGAACUGCGCUGCACACGGCAUGGUGGGGUUAUU